AAUAGAUACCCCGGUAGUCCUAGCCGUAAACGAUACUCGCUAGGUGUCGGCCACGGUGCGACCGUUGUCGGUGCCGUAGGGAAGCCGUGAAGCGAGCCACCUGGGAAGUACGGCCGCAAGGCUGAAACUUAAAGGAAUUGGCGGGGGAGCACCACAACGGGUGGAGCUUGCGGUUUAAUUGGAUUCAACGCCGGAAAUCUUACCGGGACCGACAGCAAUAUGAAGGCCAGGCUGAAGACUUUGCCGGAUUAGCUGAGAGGUGGUGCAUGGCCGUCGUCAGUUCGUACUGUGAAGCAUCCUGUUAAGUCAGGCAACGAGCGAGACCCACGCCCACAGUUGCCAGCGUACUCUCCGGAGUGACGGGUACACUGUGGGGACCGCCGCUGCUAAAGCGGAGGAAGGAAUGGGCAACGGUAGGUCAGUAUGCCCCGAAUAUCCCGGGCUACACGCGAGCUACAAUGGUUGGUACAAUGGGUAUCUACCCCGAAAGGGGAUGGAAAUCUCCUAAAGCCAAUCUUAGUUCGGAUUGAGGGCUGCAACUCGCCCUCA
rnacentral:rRNA from 1 species